AGAGACUUAGGUUAACAUAAGACCAAGGGCCUUCAAAGCCCUAAGCGGGUGUGAAAAUCCCCCAGUCCCUG
rnacentral:tRNA from 2 species